rnacentral:rRNA from 1 species
AUUGAACGCUAGCGGGAUGCUUUACACAUGCAAGUCGAACGAGUGGCGGACGGGUGAGUAAUAUAUCGGAACGUGCCAAGUAGGGGGGGAAAACUACUGGAAAGGGUGGCUAAAACCGCAACCAUUUGGAGGGGCGGAUAAGGAAUUAGCUGGUUGGUGGGGUAAAGGCUCACCAAGGCAACGAUCCGUAGCUGGUUUGAGAGGACGACCAGCCACACUGGGACUGAGACACGGCCCAGACUCCUACGGGAGGCAGCAGUGGGGAAUUUUGGACAAUGGGGGAAACCCUGAUCCAGCCAUCCCGCGUGUAUGAGAAGGCCUUCGGGUUGUAAAGUACUUUUGGCAGAGAAGCGGUAUCUGCAGAAUAAGCACCGGCUAACUACGUGCCAGUCGCCGCGGUAAUAC